CUCCUUUCUCCCGCUCUUUCUGACGCCCGGUCGCGCAUGCGCGAAGCUUCUCCUAGCAGCAGCAACAGGCAGUUCUCGCAUCCUGGCUGCAGCCGUCGCGCCAGGGAGGCAGUUCCGGCCGAGUCUUCCCUGCGGAAUUCCCACGCGGGCCUGGAGCAGGACUAGACACGCAACAAGCCAGAGACCAAAAUGACAGAUUCAAAGUACUUCACCACUACUAAGAAAGCCUUCGGAAUACAGUUACUACCUUGGCUCAGGAUCUCGGGCUUCUUCUAGAGCUAGUUCUGCUCGUGCGAGUCCAGUGGCCUCCUGUCCCAGUUCAGCCUGCCCCCCCACCUGCCUGCCUGCAAUCUUCUUUGGGAUCCAGACACACAGUAUGAGAAUCACAGCCACAACUGAUGGCACCACACGUGACAGAUGCCCUUCUGUUGAUACAGCACUGCCAGUCUGCAUAGCAUGUCAAUUGUUUGCUGCCUUCAUGUUAAGCUUUCAGAGGUUAUUGGACUGUUCACAUGGGAAUGUGUGAUAUUGAUGUGAAUGGCCUGGGCUACUUAGCCCUGGGUAAAAUUACUUAAAACAGCGACAUUGUUGAAGUAUUCUGGAAUUGGACUGAACUCUUUUAAUUCUGAAUUAAACAAAAAAGGGCACACCUAAAUGUGGAAGAGUGACAGAAAAUGGCCAUUUGUUAAUAUGCAAGAGAGAGAGAGAGAUGACCUUUAUUUGCAUUAAUGUGAGAAUACAGUAUACUUUAAAACCAACAGAAACACUAUAAAAUAUAAUAAAACCUUAAAAACCAGCAAAAGUUAAA